rnacentral:lncRNA from 1 species
CCACAUGUUGUACAGUAUACUGAAUACAUGGUAAAUUGUACGGACUUGUGUCCGUCGUGUUCAUAUGGGAGCAAGACAACAAUUUGGCUCCGGAAGAAAUUUGAUAAACUUUUGCUCUCUGCAUAACUCUGGAAGAAAUUGAAGCCAAAGUAUUUAAGGUCAACGUGGUAGGGAUGUUCAAACAAAGUAACAAACUAAUGCAGAACCAGACACGUGCCAAUUGCAAGUCCCUCUCAGAAAUUAGCCGAUCAUCUUUUAUCCAAACGUGAAGUUGGUCACGAAAAACU